UACGUAGGGUGCAAGCGUUGUCCGGAAUUAUUGGGCGUAAAGAGCUCGUAGGUGGUCUGUUGCGUCGGCUGUGAAAUCCCGAGGCUCAACCUCGGGCCUGCAGCCGAUACGGGCAGACUAGAGUCCGGGAGGGCGAGUGGAAUUCCUGGUGUAGCGGUGAAAUGCGCAGAUAUCAGGAGGAACACCAAUGGCGAAGGCAGCUCGCUGGAACGGUACUGACGCUGAGGCGCGAAAGCGUGGGGAGCAAACAGG
rnacentral:rRNA from 1 species